CGGAAAUAUUAAAAAAAAAAAGUUGUGAUAUAUAAUCUUCAGACUCUUACAGUAAAAUGAACCAAGAAGAAGAAAAAAUCCCAAACACGAUCAUAGAGUGUCUGUGGCUGGAAGGAAACACAAGGAUGAGGGGAAUGAACAUCUUACUACUGUGAAGCCCGGAUAACAGAAACGUGCGUGUUAGGGGGGAGUCAUAAGUGGACUCGGUUUGGCCCCAUCAUGGCAAGACCCUGACUUCAACGAUAGGAGGUUAAGUACCAGCUUCAAACACUCAAUGUGUUCUGUGAGUUUCCAGUGAUAUUUCUACCUGGCACUUUCUUCUACAUUUACCUUAAUGGCUCAGCUGGAACUCAGCCAUCACCGCUUAAUGUUCUUGAGUUUUAUGCAGUAUUGGCAGCAGCUUCCUUAUUGUCCUGAUAUUAGAAGUAGAAAUUCCACCCAGUUGCAGCCAGGCUGUUGCUGCCCAGGCAGUGGAGGGGCAUUUCCACUUUUUAGGAGCUUGUCCCUUUCAACACUGAGAGGCCUUUUGUCACCUUCACAGGUCAUCAGAUUUAUGAGAAAUCUUCCCAUUCCCAGAGUGGUUCUGCCAUCAGCCAUUUUACUCUGCUUUUUACUCUGACUUUCUUCUCUCUUGGCUAUAGUAGGAAAAUCUGCUCCAAUAAACAUGACGUUGUUAAUAUAUGUAAAGCAUUUAGAAGAAUGCUUCAUAUGUAUUAAGAGCUAUUAUCAUUAAUAUUAUUGUUGUUACUGCCACCAUCUUGGAUUAGAAGCUGAAGCCCAGCCGAGCCUCUGAUUUUUCUCUGGUUAUGCUGGGUGGCUUAAGAAAUUCCAAAUUAUCUAGGAAUGGGGUAGAAAAUACUUGGUUUCCUCUCCAUUUUUUGGCCAUGGUCAACCCAAAGAGCCUUAAAAAGAUCAAAGUAUUAUCACUGUAGUAUAUUUACUUGUUGGAGCUUUAACAUCCCCUCUCUGGAUUCCUGACUUGGCAGUGGGACGGAUAACCCAGAAAUCUCUACAUAGAAUGAUGCACAGCCAUCCAGUGUUUACCAAACAGUAGGUCGAUGUGGGACAGUAAUAAACAUCAUAACUCACAUUAUUGAGCACUUUAGUAUGUGCCAAAUAGUGUUCUAAGUGCUUUUAUAUAUACUAUUUCAUCUUUUCUUCAUAAAAAUCCUGUGUGUAGGACUAUUAUCCUCGUUUUAUAAAUGAAGAAACAAUCAUAAAGAGGUUAGGUAACUUGCCUAAAGCCACAAAGAUAAGUGGAAGAGCCAGGCUAUGUACCCAGGCAGUCUGAUCCCAUAGCCUUUGCUAAUAACCACCUCACUGUGCUGAUAGGGAGAACCCUGGAUCUGAGACGGCCCAGUUCUGAUCUCAGCUCCUCAACUCCAUCCUUUAACAAGUCUAAUGAUCUUGGGGAAAUUACUCAACCUUUCUGAACCUGUCUACUCAUCUGUAAGAUAGGGAUGGUACACUACACUGGUGCUCAAGAUGGAAGAGGAAAUUUGUGCCUCCUUGGGGUCCUAGUCUGGGGUGGAGAAGAGGACUAACAUGGGACCAAACCAUUACAAUAUAAUAUAAGAAAUGCCACUGUAGAGGAAUGUACAGAGAAAGGAACAUCUUCCGAGCUGGGGCAGGGCGAAGUCAGAGGAGCUUCAAGGUGCCAGUAAUGUUUGUGUUUGGUAUUGAAAGACAAGAUGGGAGAGUUCCCUGGCAGUCCAGUGGUUAGGACUUGGCGCUGUCACCGCCAGGGGCUCGGGUUCUAUCCCUGGUCAGGGAACUAGGAUCCCGCAAGCUGCUCAGUGCGGCCAAAAAAAAAAAUUUUUUUUUUCUUUUGAAAAAAAAAGAAAGACAAGAUGGGAUUGAAUGAGGUGGACGGAGGGAACAAGUUUCCAGGCAGAAGGAAUAGCAUGAGUACAGGUGCUGGAGCCUGGAAGAGCUUGGCAGUCUGUGUUCAGGUAACGGCUAGAGGAUCGGUUUGCAGCUGGAGAUUGAGGAUGAGGUAGGAACUGAUGGUGGCGAAUACAUUGCAGAGCGGGGUACACAAGCCUUCAGAUGUCAGUAUGUCCUGCGCCAUCAAGACAGACACUUUUUUUUUUUUUUUUUUUUUUUUUUUUGCGGUAUGUGGGCAUCUCACUGUUGUGGCCUCUCCCAUUGUAGAGCACAGGCUCCGGACGCGCAGGCUCAGCGGCCAUGGCUCACGGGCGCAGCCGCUCCGCAGCAUGUGGGAUCUUCCGGGACCGGGGCACAAACUCGUGUCCCCUGCAUCGGCAGGCGGACUCUCAACCACUGCACCACCUGGGAAGCCCCAAGACAGACACAUUUAAAAACAAAACUUAAUAAUGAAAUUAAGUAAAUUUAACAAAAAAAAUGCUCUACUUUUUUAAUUGAACUAUAAUUCAGGUACCAUAAAAUUCACCAUUUUACAGUGUACAAUUCGGCAGUUUUUAGUGUGUUCACAAGGUUGUACACCUCUCUCUAAUUCCAGAACAUCUUCAUCACUCCAAAAAGAAGCCUACUACCUGCUAGCAGUCACCCACCCCACCCCCCAUCCUCCCUGGUCCUCAUCCUCCGGCAACCCCUGCUCUACUUUCUAUCUCUGUGGAUUUGCCUAUUCUGGGCAUUUCAUAUCAAUCACACUAAGUUUGACCUUUUGUUUCCGGCUUCUUUUACUAGGCAUAAUGUUUUCGAGAUUCAUCUAUGUUGUAGAGUGUACCAGUAUUUCAUUGCUUUUUACGGCUGAAUAACCUCAUUUUGCAUGGUUAUACCACAUUCUGUUUAUCCAUUCGUCAGUUGGUGGACAUUUGGGUCGUUUCCACCUUUUGGCUGUUAUGGAUAAUGCUGCUAUGAACAUUCAUGUGCAGGUUUUUGUUUGAUACCUGUUUUAAGUUCUUUGGGAGUGUAUACCUGGGAGUGGAAUUGUGGUUAACUCUGAGUUUAACCAUUUGAGGAACCUAUCAGACUGUUUCCACAGUGGCUGCACCUCUGCAUCCCACCAGCAACACGAGUUCCAACUUCUCCACAUCCUUGCUAACACUUGUUAUCCCCCCUCCCCUUUUUAAAAUUAUUGCCAUUCUAGUGGGGGAAAGUGAUAUCUCAUUGUGGUUUUGAUUUGCAUUUUCCUAAUGACUAAUGAAAAGAUGUUGAACAUCUUUUCAUGUGCUUUUUGGCUAUUUGUUUACCUUCUUUGGAGAAACGUUUAUUGCAGUCCUUUGCCCAUUUUUUAAUUGGUUUGUUUGUAUUGUAAUAGUUCUUUAUAUAUUCUGGAUAAUAGACUUUUAUCAGGUAUAUGAGAUAUUUUCUUCCCAUCUGUGAGUUGUGUUUUCACAUUCCUGAUAGUCCUUUGAUGCACGAAAGUUUUUGAUUUUGAUGAAGUCUAGUUAAUCUGUUUUUUCUUUGGUUGCUUGUGCUUUUGGUGUUAUAUUUUGUGGGGGUUUUUUUUUUUUUGGUGUUAUAUUUUGCAUGUGUAUAUCUAGCUGUCCCAGCACCAUUUGUUGAAAGAGUAUCCUUUCCCCACUGAAUGGUCUUGGUACCCCUGUCAAAAAUCAAAUGACCAUAGAUGUAUGAAUUUAUUUCUGGACUCUUAAUUCUGUUCCAGUGAUAUAUAUGUUUAUCAUUAUGCCAGCACCAUAUUAUUUUUAUUAAUAUAACUUUGUGAAUGCUCUACUUUUAUUACCCUAGAUGUGCUUCUGAUAUGUAGUACAUUUGUGUAUUGUGAUUAGUAUUUUGUAUUUUCCUUUUUUUUUUUUUGGAGCAUGUACUUUUGUGUGGAUCAUUUAUAUAAUUAGUACCCUUGUCAUUUAAAAUAAUUAUGAAGUGUUUGUUUUAUUGCCUUACUGUGCUGUGCUUGCUUUUGUCAAACUCUUAUGUCACGCUGUUUUCUGAGUUGGUUUUUACUCUUUUAGAUAGCCUUGUUUGCACUGUUUUUUCUGGACCCAGGCUCAUUAGCUAUCAAGCCUCACCCGCUGGAUGUCAGGGAAUGCUGGCUGAGUUUUUUAAUUCAUGCUCCCAGAAACUUGGAGGACCACUCCCACCUGCCUCAGCCCAGACCCAGUACUUCCUGCCAGUUGUGAAUUGAAUUUCUGACCUCUUUCUUGAACCAGAGCUCUCCAGAGGUCAGGAGUGGCACCAGCCUUAGGAUCUGCUGUAUACUUUUUUGUAAAUUACUAUCCCUGAGUUGUCAUACUGCUGAGGAGACACAUGGGAAAAAACUAUCUUUUGAACUUCUCUCGUGCUGCCAAAACAAGCACCUACAAGUGCUGUUUCCAUAUGCAAUAUGUCCCUGUCUUUAGAAAGGAGGAGCUCCCAGAGAGAAUGGGACUUGUUCAGGUUGCCCAGUGACCACACAGUGCUACUAGGAACAGAAUUCAUCCCUCACUCCCAUGGAUUCUCGUCUUGUCAUCCUAACCAAACACUCCUUUCCUAUUGGGCAACAGAAGAUAGAAUUUACAUUUCAGUAGUUUCCCCAGGGGAGGUCUUGAGUUUCUUCUUCCCUGCUCUUGUGAAUAACCAGGUAAGGAGACCCAGUGAAAUGACUUGCACGCAUUGUGCUGCUCCUUAACAGAUCAAGAUCAUUGGCUCUGGCAGCAGACCUGUGAGAGGAGGGGCAGGAGAGAAAGUUCACAGCUUCAGGGUGUCCUGAGCUCUUUAGGGAUUUUGGAUGAGCAGAGAUGCCCAGUUUUCUCCCAUAACAAACAGGGUAUCUUCUGUGAAACUUGGCUCUAGUGGUUAUUGACCAACUUGUUGGUAUAUAUAAACUUUUCCUAUGGGAAUUUUCAAACAGAUGCAAAAGUCGAGAGGAUAAUGUAAUGAAUUACCAGGUACCUGUCACCCAGCUUGUGGAAUUAUCAAUAUAUGGCCAAUCGUGUUUCAUCUCUACCCCCUUUCGCUCCCUCUCCCCACUGGAUUAUUUUGAACCAAAAUUAGUAUAUUGAUCAAGUUUUCAGUUUCUACUUACUCUUGAAGUGGUUUCCCUCAGAUGUUAGGAUGUGAGCUCUCAUUUAGAUUGGUUUUAGCAGCUUCAUUGGGCCGGUCGUUCUCUCUCUGGCAGUGUUGUUGUACUGGCAGAAUCACAGGAAUUUUUUGGCCUCAAACUCUGUUCUUUUGUGCCUCCCACUCCCGGUGUCCUGGGAACCUGUCAUGCCUCUUCCCUGUGUUCCCAGUGCCUGGACCUCCUCUCAUCAGCUCUCCCAGGUCAUCAACCCUUACGUUGGAGGCUAAGAAUUUCUCUAUAUGAGGGUCUAGGCUGGCAGGUAGAAGGUGCUUAAUAACGAGUUGUUGAUGACUGACUGGAUGUAUUCUGUUUGGCUUUCCACUCACCUGAACCUCACACUCAGCUGUUUUAACAGUGCACUUGGUUCUGUGUAUCUUAAAUGAGGAGGAACUUACCUGAGCCUCGCCACUGCUUCUGUCCAGCUGCAGAGUCUGGAUUGGAUUUUCCUGGCUCCCCCUGCUGGCCACUCCUGGGCAGCUGCAUACAGGUGCCUCUGGUGGCGUAAGAUUGGAGCCAGAGCCAAGUUCUGCCAAGGGAAAGUAGAACAUUGUUGUGAAGUGCCCGGGCUAGUCCAGGCAGGUCUCAGUAGGAGAAGAGCAGCUUGAGAACCGUUCUGGGAAGGGCAGCUUUCUGGGUAAGGGACAGGGAAGGUGGGCCACUGCCCACAAAGUCAGGAGGGCAGGGUUGAGGCCUCAACACUGGAAGACCACAUGGGCCCGUAAAUGAGCUGGUCAUUGUGUGGGGAUUGGGGCCUAUACUGACAAUAGAGAUGGGCUCCUUCUCCCCUUAAGACAAAGCAGCCUGGGGUCAGACAUGGUCACCAGGCAAGCAGAGGGGCUACAGAGUUUUAUCUCAGCCUCCAUGAAAAUUGAGGCCAGGAGGGUGGUGAACGUAGAUGGGAGCAUCCCCAGAGUUCAUGGUCCCACGUGGGAUACAUGACCCCACCUCCUAGCUCUAAAGACAAGUAAUGACUCUGUGGAACUCUGGGUGCAUGUUUCUGUGGGGGCUCCUCCCUCCACUGUCUGUAAAUAUAAUAAAUUCCCCACAUCUGUCAACCCCUUCCAUCACAUUUCUUGGUUAUUUACAUGUAUUUGUCUUUUCCACGGCACAACUUCCCAGAAAGUGGGCUGUGGCAGAAUGCAUCUCGCCUGACUCCAGCCAGCUGCAGGUGUCUGGAAGAGGGUUGAAGAUGGUCAGAUGCUAAGGGCAGAGCCCCUCUUCUUCUCUCCACCCCCAAGCCGCAAGUGCCAGGGUAAGAAAGCUGAGAUUCAGAAGGGUUCUGCACAAGAGAGCCAAUUUUUGGAUGCUGCCACACAGAGAGAGACGACAGCCAGUCAGUCUUGAAGAGCAGCAGCCAACCAACAGAGAGAUGGCCACUUCCCCAUGGCCUCCCGGCCCCUGUCCACAGCCCCGCCGCAGACAGGAGCAGGGGGGAUGUGACAAGGGACAGACCGCCUUCCGCCACCCUCCACUCAGGCCACCAGGGCCAUGGCCACAUCUAGCUUCCCUGGGAGUGGAGGCCGAGAGCUUUGAAGGAGAGCUUGACCUGGACAUUUUUAAGUACCAGCCCGUGUAAUCCUCACAGCAGCUGCGAGAAUAAGAGUUGCACCUGCCAGAGCACACCCGGUUAGAAAGAGGUGGUGCUGGGAUCUGCACCCGCUGGCCAUCUCUGGAGACCACCAUGAGACAGGGCCCCUGGUGACCGCCCGGGGAAGGGGCAGGUGCAGCGCCGUGGAAGGUCGGAGGAGGGCAGAGGCAAACAAGGCCAUGGAAACGAGCCACAAGAGAAAGCAACAUUCACCUUUAAUUGCAUCACAGACCAAACGUUAACCCACUGAAGACCCGCCACCCCGUUAACUGGCUAGAAUGGGGGUGUUCCUGCGGCUCCACUGAACAGAAACAGAUCCUGAGACCUUAAGGUAAGCGUCUGAACACUGUCACCAUGUACAACGUCUAUCUAUUGCUUUACUGUACAAUCAGAGCGAGAAACAAAUGCAUUCGAUGCUGUGGAGGUAGAAGACACCGUGGUUGCUACCCCAACCCCAAAUGUCUGCAUCAGGACCAGCUGAGCUCUUCUUAGUCGUUAUCUUUUGAAUAAAUGUUACGCAUUUGAAUAGAACAAUUUAUGCUAACAAAAUACAGUUGACCCUUGAACAGUUUUCCAGGGUUUGAACUGAAUGAGUCCACUUAUAUGCGAAUCUUUUUCAACAGUAAAUACUAUGGUAGGUGGUACACCAUCUGCAGUUUGCUGAACCCGCAGAUGUGGAACCGCGGACGUGGAAGAAUCACAUACACAGAGGGCCGACACUAAGUUGUAUGUGUAUUUUUGACUGCCCGGAGGGUCGACGCCCCUAACCUCCGUGUUGUUCAAGGGUCAAGUGUACUGCUUUCAUGUUUUAUAUAUUGAGUUUAUUCAUCUGACAAAUGAGGGAGCUAAGUUUAGAGAGUAAUUUGCACAAAGCACAGGGCUCAGCUACUAGAGAAAGCAACACCCUGCCACUGCCGGGCCAGUGCCCUCCCGAUCCUCCUGACCACCCUGGGGUAUUCCUCUCCUCCCCGAUUUACAGCCGGGCAGACAGAGGUCCUGAGAGGACUCGGGGCAGCUGGACUGAGAACCAGCCCCUGAGCAUGUGUUCUUACCACCUCCAGCCUCAGCAGAGGUAGCUUCUGGUAAAAGGUGUGGAUAGUUUUUAUCAGUGUACUUGGUAGCCAGGGCUGUCCUGAUAGAGGUGACAGGUUCUGUGCAGGGAAACUUGAGCACUUAGGUGACUCAGAAAGCACCAUGGGUGCGGUCUCAUGGCCACAGGUGGGCCCCCCCCCGGCAGGACCUUGUGACCCAAUCAUAGGCCACAGUGGGUGGAAAACUGAAUCUUUCCCCAGCCCCACCAGACUGUAAACCAGAGUAAGGGGUGCCGUGAACACCUGCGGGAGAUAGGGGUGCACCUGUCGAUUUAUCUGGGGACGGGAGGCGGCUUGGCCAGACAGCGACUUGAGGACCACCGCCACAAUGGUGAGAGGCAGUGUGGUCUACACCGCAGAACUCAAAGGAGCCAACCAUGGACCAGGUGUUACAAAA